GAAAUGCGAUAAUUAAUGUGAAUUGCAGAAUUCAGUGAAUCAUCGAGUCUUUGAACGCACAUUGCGCCCCCUGGUAUUCCGGGGGGCAUGCCUGUCCGAGCGUCAUUGCUGUCCUCAAGCACGGCUUGUGUGUUGGGCUUCCGUCCCUGGCAACGGGGACGGGCCCAAAAGGCAGUGGCGGCACCAUGUCUGGUCCUCGAGCGUAUGGGGCUUUGUCACCCGCUCCCGUAGGUCCAGCUGGCAGCUAGCCUCGCAACCAAUCUUUUUAACCAGGUUGACCUCGGAUCAGAUAGGGAUACCCGCUGAACUUAAGC
rnacentral:misc_RNA from 1 species